GGUCAUUGGAAACUGGGAAACUUGAGUGCAGAAGAGGAGAGUGGAAUUCCACGUGUAGCGGUGAAAUGCUAAGAGAUGUGGAGGAACACCAGUGGCGAAGGCGACUCUCUGGUCUGUAACUGACGCUGAGGAGCGAAAGCGUGGGGAGCGAACAGGAUUAGAUACCCUGGUAGUCCACGCCGUAAACGAUGAGUGCUAAGUGUUAGGGGGUUUCCGCCCCUUAGUGCUGCAGCUAACGCAUUAAGCACUCCGCCUGGGGAGUACGGUCGCAAGACUGAAACUCAAAGGAAUUGACGGGGGCCCGCACAAGCGGUGGAGCAUGUGGUUUAAUUCGAAGCAACGCGAAGAACCUUACCAGGUCUUGACAUCCUCUGACAACCCUAGAGAUAGGGCUUUCCCUUCGGGGACAGAGUGACAGGUGGUGCAUGGUUGUCGUCAGCUCGUGUCGUGAGAUGUUGGGUUAAGUCCCGCAACGAGCGCAACCCUUGAUCUUAGUUGCCAGCAUUCAGUUGGGCACUCUAAGGUGACUGCCGGUGACAAACCGGAGGAAGGUGGGGAUGACGUCAAAUCAUCAUGCCCCUUAUGACCUGGGCUACACACGUGCUACAAUGGACAGAACAAAGGGCUGCAAGACCGCAAGGUUUAGCCAAUCCCAUAAAUCUGUUCUCAGUUCGGAUCGCAGUCUGCAACUCGACUGCGUGAAGCUGGAAUCGCUAGUAAUCGCGGAUCAGCAUGCCGCGGUGAAUACGUUC
rnacentral:rRNA from 1 species